rnacentral:rRNA from 1 species
AGUGAACGCUGGCGGUAGGCCUAACACAUGCAAGUCGAACGGCAGCACAGUAAGAGCUUGCUCUUACGGGUGGCGAGUGGCGGACGGGUGAGGAAUACAUCGGAAUCUACUUUUUCGUGGGGGAUAACGUAGGGAAACUUACGCUAAUACCGCAUACGACCUACGGGUGAAAGCAGGGGAUCUUCGGACCUUGCGCGAUUGAAUGAGCCGAUGUCGGAUUAGCUAGUUGGCGGGGUAAAGGCCCACCAAGGCGACGAUCCGUAGCUGGUCUGAGAGGAUGAUCCGCCACACUGGAACUGAGACACGGUCCAGACUCCUACGGGAGGCAGCAGUGGGGAAUAUUGGACAAUGGGCGCAAGCCUGAUCCAGCCAUACCGCGUGGGUGAAGAAGGCCUUCGGGUUGUAAAGCCCUUUUGUUGGGAAAGAAAAGCAGCAGGUUAAUACCCCGCUGUUCUGACGGUACCCAAAGAAUAAGCACCGGCUAACUUCGU